GACGAUGUAGUUUAGUUCAGGAUAUUGGGUUUGCGUCUCAAAGGUAGAAUAAUUUUCUCUUCGUUA
rnacentral:tRNA from 1 species